UGAUGCGGCGGGGCCUGCUGGGAUGUGUAGUUCCGUAGUAUCAGUGGCCCGUAGCCUUGUACCAACCUGGACUAACAGCCCCACAAUGCCCGGCGACUAAAUGCGUAAGUCGACCGCGACGGACUCCGGCGCGUCAGGCGAUUCACAGAAUUGGACUCUCAUUGACCUUCACAAAAGCAAAAUUAACAACCAACCCUGGCAUCCAUCCAUCUGGAACCCACAUCCAUUCCCUUAU